AGACCGUCUUACAUACAUUACCAAGCCGAACGGUACCGUGUUGCUGAUGCUACAGGGAUACACGUUCUUCAGAGCGAGCAAGCAGAGUUAUGUUACGAUUACGAGAUGUCGACAUCUAGACGCGGGAAAGAUAGGAUAGUCUAUAAAGGGUUCACCUACAGCUCUAAGCAGAACAACAAAUAUUGGUACUGUUCCACUCUCAACACCUGCAAAGCCAAACUUCACCUGGACCAUAGUCUGAAGAUAAUCGGGGCUUUUACUAAUCACAAUCACCCCCCACCCUCCUUAGUUAGAUUAAGAAAUGGGCAACUUAUUUUGAGGUAGUUUGUGAAACGUCGAUGACGUCAUACUCUACUUUGUGUAUCAGCUUACCUCUAAGAGGAUUCUGUAAAGUAAAAAUUAGUUUUUACAAUUAUGUAUUCAUUAAUGACACAACAUUUCGUUCCAAAUUAUAGAAUAUGAAAUUAAAAAUCAUUGUUUCACAAGUAUUACUGAGAUAUUACUUUACAAUGUAGGAAAAAUAUGUCGUUUUAAUACGCGAAUGAUAUUUUAGUACAUUGUGAUUCUGGUUACUAGCCACAAGUUUGCAUUGUCACAUUAAAUAUGAAAACUGGAAACGCUCCGUGUGCAGUGUGUCGAUUGAAACUUGUGAUAAGCACACUGAACGUUGAACGUAAGGCUUUAGAACUAUGGUCAUGGUUCACGCUAUUCUUAGUACAUAUUUAUUUCAAUUUUAAUGUAAUGAUAUCAUUUUACAUAGUUUUGUACAAAUAUUUCCUUUAUAGUUUAUCAUAGUACAUUCUCGUGUAAUUUUUUUAUACAUAGACUGGCUAUAGUAUCUAAGCUAUUCGUGUUUACACAUUUAAAUGGAAUUUAGUGUUUCGGAUACUACGCGUUUUUUUAUUAUUUUAUAUACAUAAUCCAGACGUUUCGGUUUCUUUAGAGCAGCCGUGAUUACUAUGAGGCGAGAUGAAAGUGUCGCUGAAACUUAGAUAUUAAAUAGUAGAAAACUCGUUAUGUGCGAAAAAUUUGUUUCAUUUACACCGGGUAUUUGGUCAUCGCGGUCUGUUUAUAAUAAUAAGAUUAUAGUAAAGAAGUGAUAGCGAAUACUUUCAUAUGUAGAUGGUAUCCGAAACCAUUAGUAAGACUUUAUGUUCCAAUAUGAUGUUAUGGUGAGUGUACGUAAUAAUACCUAAUUAGGUUACACUUUGAAGAAUUUAUAUUAUAAUCAAAAGCAAUUUAUGUCGAAUAUACAUUGAAGGCUAGAUAUUAUUCUAAAGUAGAUUAUAUCAACAUAAUAAGUAUUUUUAGAUUCUAUUGAUAGAACACAUAACUUAGAUUUUUUAAUAAAAAAUGUAAUACA